CAUUGUGGACACACAUGCACACUGGUGUGCAUGCAUGUGUGUGUAACCUAAAGGUCUGUCUUCAGUGUCUUCCUUAACUGUCUCCCACCUCGACACAAGAUCUCUAACUGAACCUGAACUAGAAGCUCUCACUAUCAGGCCAGGCAAUUGCCUCUCCACUGUCUGGAAUAGGAUGACUGAAAACAAUGGUCUCCAUUAUGCCGGUGAUAAUAGAGUUUGGUGGAAGGCGGGAGCUCCUUCCUCCCCACAGUACAGAUAUGGAAAUGAGCAAUAAAGAAGGAAACGCUCACAAAAGGUGAUGUCAUCUACCUCGCAGAGCGUGCUGAAGAGCUAGUUAAUUUUUAAAGCCUUGGAUGAAGCCAUCAGAGCCCAGCUUUUCCGUUUUGAUCAAGAACCAGAAUCUGGUCAUGGAGCGGUAACGAGACAAUCACGUCUCAUGGAAUGGCUAAUUAGCUCCAAGUUCAAGGGACAUUCUGGAAGCCGGUCAAAAAUACAGCAGCUGACAUGAUUCCUGACCAGAGUGGAUGCCACUGGAAAAGACUUGCAGGAGAUUGGCAUGAGCUGUUGAGACAGAAUGAAUUCUGCAAGUAAAAUUCAAUGUAUGGAAAGAAUAAUACGUGUUUGAUUUGUUUGUAACAAGCCCACACACCCUGGACUUGAGAAAGUCUCUCGAAAUAAUGUGCACAAACUCAGACUUCCAUCGAGUCUUUCCUUUGAACUGGAUGUGAUCUUCUCGCCUAGAGGACAAACUGCAGCCAAUGACUGAAAUGAGAGCUCUCACCUGUUCUUGCUUCUGCCAUCAUGGACUCUGACCCAAUGAAACCAUCGUCCAAGUAAAUACUGUGUUUUGGAAGUUACCUUUGUCAUGAUGUCUCCUCACAGCAUCGGGGAGACGACUG